rnacentral:rRNA from 1 species
UACGGAGGGGGCUAGCGUUGUUCGGAAUUACUGGGCGUAAAGCGCACGUAGGCGGAUAUUUAAGUCAGGGGUGAAAUCCCGGGGCUCAACCCCGGAACUGCCUUUGAUACUGGGUAUCUGGAGGUCGAGAGAGGCGAGUGGAAUUCCGAGUGUAGAGGUGAAAUUCGUAGUUAUUCGGAGGAACACCGGUGGCGAAGGCGGAUCUCUGGCCCGGUACUGACGCUGAGGUGCGAAAGCGUGGGGAGCAAACAGG